CCCACCAAAUCCCUCCGUCGUUCUUCUCUCGGAGCUCUACUCUACUCUCGUCGCUGGCAAACCUCCUCUUCUUCCCUAUUCUCUCCUUUUUUUGAUCUUCAUUCUUCUUCUCGUUGGAAAUCCACCGUGAGAAAUCCAAAUUCAUGUUCGUCCGUGUCCUCUCUUUAUGAUGAGAUUAUGAGAGUAUGCAAAACAAAGAUUUAAGCAAUGUUCUAAGAAGAAAUGUUAGUUGGCACCGAAAAGGAUAGUUAAGCCUUCAAUUCAUGUCAACGAACCGUAUACGGAAGAAAAGAUGAAGAUGGAGAUCGAAGGAGAAGAAGAAGGUCUCUUGGUGGUUUUAGAUAUAUUGUAUGGUUUUUGAUACCACUGUGUUGGUGUUUUGGCUUUAGGUACAAAUGUUCGGAUUGUGUUUUGGUUUCUAAGGUUAUGUAUGAAUCUAAGUGUUUAUGUACAACUGAUACGAACAUGUACAACUAUGUAUCUGGGUUUAUAAAUCUAAGUGUUUAGGUACAAUUGUUCUGAUGUGUUUUGGUUUCUAAGGUUAUGUAUGAAGCUAAUUGUUUAGGUACAACUGGUACGAUCAGGUACAACUAUGUUUCUGGGUUUAUGUUUUUUGGUUAAAAAACCUAUCUAAUUAUGUAUGUAUCUUUGAAUCUGAAUCUUAAUAUUUUUAUGUAUGAAUCUAUGUAUUGAAUAUAA